GUUACCUUUAAAUUAGUCCAGAGAGGCUAUAAGGUCAGAUUUUAAAAUAUACUGCAUUUAUGUAUAAUCAUCAUAGUAUGGUUGUAUUUGUAUAUGUUAAGCUUCUUGCCUUAUGGCAGGAAGCUUUUUUAGC
rfam:Clostridium cellulolyticum H10, complete genome.